rnacentral:lncRNA from 1 species
AAUUUCCGAAACGAAAUAACUCUUGUGGCCAAAAGAGCAAAAAUUACACAAAGCGGGAGAAAGAUAGUAGAAGUCUAGAACAAAUCGAUCAUAACUCUUGAAUCUUGAGGAUCUUCGUGAAGAGGUGAGAUCUUGAAACUGUCGAGUCUUGGAGAUUUCUGUUGCUGCGUGUAAUGGGAAGAUGAAGAAGAAGAAGAUGGUGGGAGAAUCAUGGAGGACGAAGAAGGGAAUUCAGGGUUGUAGGGUGAAGGAUUUGUCUUAAGACAAAACGACGUCGUUUUGUCUUAACGGCUCAAUUAACAGAUAGUUAACCCCGGUUCAUGGUUCCGUUAACCUACUUAACGACGGGACUAAUAUGGCGAAGUCAACAAAAGUUGAGUAUUUAUUUGGAAGGUCAACUCAAGUUUGAGAUUUAAUUCGUUUCGUCUUGAGUUGGGGAUUUAAAUGAACGUUUCCAACAAAUUGAGGAUUUUAAUGACAUUUUUCCCAAAAAAAAAAGCUAGUUUAGACAUUGUGUUUGGGUUCCUCAUUUACAAUUUAGGGUUUAGUUUGCCCUUUUAGAUGUCUUUUAUGGAUUGCCUAUUGUAGAUUAAUCAGUUUGGGUUCAUCCGUCCUUGACUAGGGUUUAGUGUUCUCUCGAUUAGAGUUUUAUCUCGUAAAGUAGUUAAAAUAUUGUGUUUGGGUUCUCCAUUUACUAUCAACUAGGGUUAAGUUUUUCUCUUUUAGAUUUUUGUUAUAAACAGUCCACUGUAUAUAAAUCGAUUUGGGUUCACCCGUCCUUGACUAGGGUUUAGCAUUCUCAUGUUUAGACUAUUAGCAUCAUAUUAAGCGGUGAAACACUUAGCUUUCCUAUCUAAUCAUGAACCACAAAUAUCGAACACUAAUGCAAAAUUACACAUCAUUACAUUGAAGCUUUUAAACACCAUUUACCUGCUCACAUGUAGCCAUUAUCUCCUAACGAUUAUUUGCUUCCAUCACAACCUUUGCGUUUGUUUUCCUCCCACUACACUCUUUCUACACUUACAAUCCAGGCUUAUAUUUAGGCUUGGGCAAAAAACCCGUACCCGAGUACCCGAACCGGACCCGACCCGAAAAAACCGGUUCGGGGCGGGUACGGGUAUGUGAGUUUUACACUGUUGGGUUCUAUAAUUGCUUACCCGUGGGUAUCGGGUCGGGUUCGGGUUUUACCCGAUACCCGAUGGUGUAAACCGAAAAUCCGAUCCGCUUAAAUGCCCUUAGGUUUAGUCUCUAACCCGAUUAACCUUUUGACUAUUUAGCUUCUUCCCUUUGCUCGAUUCUAGAACCCUAAACCCUAAACCCGAUACCCGAUGGUGUAAAAAAUGUAUUCCACAGUGUAAACGGGUAGAAAAUACCCGAACCCGACCCGAAACAAGCAAGAACCGAUAUUUUCGGGUUUUUACCGGUUCUCAAAUCUGAUACCCGAACCGACCCGAACCCGACCAUACCCGAACCGAAACCGAACCAAUGUUUCGAGUUUACCCUAUUGGAUCCUAUAUUACCAUACCCGACAUACCCGAACCCGAUCGGGUUUUACCCGAACCCGACCCGCGGACCCGAAUGCCCAGGCCUACUUAUAUUUAUGAAACGCAGAAAUCCUUGUUGGAGCACCCAGUUUCGUAGGCUGAUUCCUGUCCACAAAUUAGCAUUAAUUACUGUAUCUUACAGUGUCCUAAUUCAGUUUCUCCACAAAUUAAACCUUUUUACGUAAACCAUGUACUAAUAUCUGCUGACAUCAUCAACCCACUUGCAAACCUAUAUUUCACUUUCCCGUUUAUUCACCAAGGGUAAAAUCGUCCGAAUUUGGUAAGUUAUGUGCUACUGUUUAAUUUAACUGUGCAUAGUGCCUAUUCUGAAAGAAAUAAAUUUAAAAUGCCUGUUUCCGAUAUAAGCUCUUUAAAUAAAAGGGUUAUUAAAAAAAACAAAAUAAUGUAUAAUUUCACAGGAUGGGAUUAUAUGGUGGGACAGAUUUAGGUCGAUAUUAAUACGAGACAAUAUACCACGGGUAAAAUCCUAGAUUAACAAAUCAAAAUACAUUUAUACAAUCUUAAAUACUAAACAAAACAAAUACAACUUAAAUUUUUUUUUAGUUACAACGCAUUUGACCCGCGUUGUACAACAAAAAAUAUUAUACACAACAAAUUCAUCAAUUUAUAAAAAAAUAUAAAAAAAAAAUAAUUAACCCGCGGUGUACCGCGGGUCAUAUCCUAGUUCUUAAAGAUAUACACAAGGGAAUAAGUGUACAACUGAUCAUUCAAAUUUCAAAAUACCAAAAAUAUUCUUUUUUGGCAUAGAGAUUCUUCCUAGAAGUGUUUUAGAUACUCUUUAUACUUUAUAGUUUUCUAGAUAUUACGAUAGCAAAUUUAUGUCUUUUGCUUCAGUGUAUUUUAAUGUUAAUUUUCUCUUGUUUCUCAACAUAUAUUUUUUUUUAUAGAUUCAUAAACUUUAAAACCGUUAAUGGUUAUUGUGGUCAAAAAUCAAAAUACGUAUAGCUUAAUUGUUUCCAUAUUUUUAGAUACUUACGUUUGUAAAUUUAAUAAAAUUAAAAAAAAAGAAAAACUUCAUAUUUUUAUUAUAUAUUUAGAAAAGUUUCCAGUUUUCCAAAUAUUUUUUUUAUAUUAUGUUAAUACUUUUUUAUAAAUAAAUUUUCAUAAAUUUCUUAUCUUCGAAACGUGUUCCUAAUUCCUAUUAAGUACAUUAUUUUAGAAUUAGAAAUUUUUCUAUUUAUUCUAAAAAUAUAACUUAUUAAAAAGAAUAUAUUUCAGCAUAAAGACUUAUAUUACAAAUUCAUAUACAUAUUGAAAAGAAUGUAAGAAAAGUAUGAGUUGUUAAAAAGAAAGUAUAAAUAAGCUUAUGAGUAUACUUUUGUAUAGGAUUUUAUAUUUAGAAGAGCUGUACUAACUAAUGCAGUGAAUAUAGACGAAAAAUAAUAGUGAAUUUUUUCGCAUACAAAAAUGAGAAAUUCGUCGAAGUUAGACCCUAUAAAACAAUUUAUUUAUUUCAUAAAAAAAUCUGGUCAUCCAAAAUAUCUAAAGGUAAAGAGAGAGAGAGCUAUUAAACAAAAAAUAUAUACUUUUGAUAAAUGUUGUAAAAAUCUAAAAGUUGUAUUAGAUUUUUUUGAGUUGUUAUUUGUCAUGGUAAAUUUAAAUUUCAAAGAAUUUGAACUAUUAACAGUAACAAUAAGUAGAAAUAUAAAAACAUAUAUUUCAAAAAAAAUUAAUAAAUAUUACUAAUCACACAAAAUUUUAUUAAAAACUCUAAAAAUAGACCCACGCGUAGUGUUGGUUCAGAACCCAGUGCACCAACAAAUUAUAGGCUGCUUUACCACAGAGAUGUAAACCGUUCCAUCGUUCUUUGGAUAAACUGUUCCAUCGUUUGCAAGUGGAUCUUACUCCUCACAGAGAUGUCUACCAAAUCCUGCUAAAGAAAUUAGUAAAAUGAAUUAUUUCUUAUGCUCUGUUUAAUUCUCAAAACAGAACAAAGAACAUCAGAAAGAUCUUUACCACAAUUCAUAUUAACAAGAGGAACAAAGAUAUAUAAUUUAGAGGAACAAAAUUGAGUGAGCAAUAUCGUCCUAAUUGUAACGAUUUUUUCAUACAAGACUGAUUCAUCAUCCUUCAGGAUAAAAGGUUCAGACACUCAUACACAAAAGCUAUUUUCUACUUCCCACAGUGAAGCAUCAAGAUUCACUAAUGAAUCUAAACCUAACAGAAAACAAAAAAACAAUCCUUAACGUUGCUCAUUGUUCUAGGCGUGUCUUCUGAUCGGUGAGUGAAACACGAUCUCCAGUGAAGAUAACCAUCAACUCAGCCACAAGCUGCUUGUCAUCAUGUUUCCUAACAUAACAAUUUAAAAACUUCUCACUAGUACUUGUCAAAACAGACGAUAUUGCAGGGAGUUCACUUUCGAGCAAUCCUUUUGAGAUGAGAACUUUGAUUACAUUACACCUUGGGACAGUCCUCUUCUCUAGGCUGUAUCCAACUACUUGAGGGAUUGAAGCCACAGCCUUUAGUGGCCAAUUCAUCUCCUUCACCAGAUACUCAGUCUUCUUCUUCACUAACUCUGUCGAAAAUCCAAUGCAUUGAGGAAACCGCUUGACCAUCAUCAAAAACUCAUCUCUGCUGAAUCCUAGACCAAGAAAUGUUUCAAUGGAGUUGGCUACCUUCUUCUCCGAGUGUGUCAGAGAGCGUGGCCACUUCUUGACCAUUGCCCAUACAUCAUCCACAGUGAAACCUACACUUGUAUAGAAUUCAACUUUUUCUUCAAUCGCAUAUGCAAAGCGUGCACAAACGUUGAGGUGGUUGGAUCAAAACCCAUCUCAACGACCUUCUUGAGUGAUGCAUCAAAUUUUUCUUUUCCACACACGGGCUGCGCUUUGGAGAUGAGCAAAGGUAACAACCGCUUUUGAGGCACACCCAAUUCUCUCAAAACCAAAACAUUUCUGAUCUUGUUACCCUGUGAUAAAGAAUGAGAUAACUUUACAUACUUGGAACUCUUAUCUGCUUCUAUAAUGACUUUGACGAAAUCAUAGUAUCUGCUGAUAGAUUGGCCCUCUCUCUUCCCCAAGAUUUUAGGAACUGUAGAAACAAUCUCAGUGAGCUCAGAGCUUGACGCUCCUCUGGCCUGCAAAAACUCAAGCUUUGAACCAAGGGAUGUCGCAGUAUUGGCUAUAAGCACUUGUGGAUCACUCCUAAUGAUGCUGGAGAUCUGAGAAUCUGUGAACCCAUAACUUCUAAGAAGAUCCAGAACCGAAUCAGCAUUGACUAAACGCAGUGAAUCAAGGAAUGACGAAGCUUUAAAGGUCUCCCCUUUUCCACCAUCUUUAGGGCUCACAUCAGCAGCACUAGCAGAAGAGAACGAAUUGGAAAAAGAAGAUCCAUUUUGCAAUGAAACUCUCAAGUUACGCCAUUUCUGCAACACCACGAACCUACGGAUUAUCAGAGAAUUCAUGACAAUGCACAGCGUUGAAGCGAUUCGACCAAUAUAUCUGAUCCAAUUCGUACCCAAGAUUCAAAAUUUGACCUUGAUUACUAUCGAUCAGUGAAGAACAAGAGUAUCACUCAUCGAUCAUUCACUUGCGGAACUCUCAGAAUCGCACAGAUACAAAAUUUGGGGAGGAAACACUUGAUUUUUAGGGUUUAGUUCUUGACCGGUUUAAGAAAUCAAAAACUGAUUUAAUUGGUUUACUAUUGGUUCAUUAAUAUUAUAAGGAAUAUUUAAUAGGUUCGCUAAUGGGAUUGCGAAUUCUACAAAAAAGAAUGAAUAAGGAGACUUUUGGUGAAGUCUUGGAACGAGUAUCUUCUAGGUUGGCGGGAUGGAAGAGUCGUUCUUUGAGCUUGGCAGGUAGAAUAACUCUGACUAAAGUAGUUUUGUCAUCUAUCCUUGUGCAUUCUAUGAGUGCAAUUCUGUUGCCUGCCUCUACGCUGGAAAGCCUAGAUAAACUGUCAAGGAAUUUUCUGUGGGGGAGCACCAUGGAGAAGAAGAAACAGCAUUUACUCUCAUGGAAAAAGGUUUGUAGACCGAAAGCAGAAGGUGGACUAGGUUUACGGCCUGCGCAGGACAUGAACAAGGCUCUUGUAGCGAAGGUGGGCUGGCGCCUUAUCCAAGAUAAGACUAGCUUAUGGGCAAGGGUGCUAAGAAGUAAAUACAAAGUAGGUGAUGUUCAGGAUCCCAGGUGGCUGAAGGCCAAGAGCAGCUGGUCAUCUACUUGGCGGAGUAUCGGGGUAGGGCUGAGGGAGGUGGUAGCUAGGGGCAUUGGCUGGGUUCCUGGAGAUGGGAAGACUAUUCGAUUCUGGGCUGACCGCUGGCUAUUAGAGAAACCACUGCUUGAGUUUGUAACGGGCACGCUACCGGAUGACGAGAAGGCUAAGACAGCGGAGAGGUACUGGACGUUGGGAUCGGGUUGGGACAUGGUAAAGCUGCGCCAUUUCUUGCCACUAAACAUCACAAGAAGAUUGUUUUCUGUGGUGUUGCAUGAUUUUCCAGGGACGAGAGAUGAGCUGUCUUGGAAGGGUCACCCGGAUGGGCAGUUUACAGUUAGAUCAGCGUACGCGUUACUAAAACCCGAGAUGGAGGACAGGCCGUGUAUGGAGAGAUUCUACAAGAGGUUAUGGAGGUUGGUAGCACCGGAACGGGUUCGGGUAUUCAUCUGGUUGGUGUCACAUCAGGUGAUAAUGACUAAUGUUGAGAGAGUACGGAGACAUGUAGGGGAGAGUGCGGUAUGUCCGGUAUGUAAUGGGGUGGAUGAGUCGAUUAUACAUGUGUUGAGGGACUGUCCGGCGAUGUCGGGACUGUGGCGAAGGCUACUUCCCCCGAGGAGACAUGAUUUGUUUUUCCAGAAGUCUUUGUUGGAAUGGGUCUUUGACAAUCUGGAUCCUGCUAAGGAUAACUGGCCAACGAUGUUCAGUAUGGCGGUUUGGUGGGCCUGGAAGUGGAGGUGUAGGGAUGUCUUUGGGGAACGGAAACUAUGCAGGGAUAGGUUAAAGUUCAUUAAAGAUUUGGCGGAUGAAGUGCGCAGGGCGCAUGCGGGGACCUUGAACAGUUCGCAGCCACAUGCACGAGUGGAGAGGUUGAUUCGGUGGCUGGCACCAAAUGAAGGAUGGGUGAAGAUUACGACUGAUGGUGCGUCCCGUGGGAACCCCGGACUGGCUGCCGCGGGAGGGGCAAUCCGGAAUGCGGAUGUUGAAGACUUUUUUGUGUUUCCCUAAUUCUUGUGUGUGUUUGUACUUUUUCUUGUUUUUAAUUGAAUCUCCUCUUUAUAUUGUGGCUCAUUUUCUUAACAUGAAAUCAGACCAAAUUUUAUGAAAUUAGAAUUCUUUUGUGAUCCUUCUUGAACUGUUUAAAUAUUUUUUUCUAUUAUUUUGGUUUGAAAGAAUAGUCACUGGGGAUGAAUUUCGAGUUUGGUUUCAUCUUUAGUACCCUGAAGUAAACUCCAGUAAUUUGAUUUGAAACUCUCAGCUCUAAGGGUUUAGAAAACGUUUUAGGUUUUUAUCUUUUUCUAAAAAAACCGUAGACAAUAACAUCUACAUUUUUUAGAUCGUAAUCUAUACAAUAAAUAUCUAUUUAAAUCGUAAUCUAAAACAAAUAUUUUGUUUCCUUUUCUGAAGAUUUACUUUCUAUAUUUAGAACAUUCUAAAAAUUACAGAAAACGAAAUCUACAAUUCCGUAGAAUUUACAUUCUAAACGAAGAUUACAAUUUCUAACGAUGGCAGAAGAUGUAGAAAUUAUUAGAACGGCUAUUCAAGAAUAUUUAGAACAUAGAGCAAAGCGUAGAAUGCAUGUUCUAAAUAUUUUAGAUAUAUGAUUUUCGGAUUUCUAAAAUUUUCAGAACAGAAAUCUAAUCUAAAUUAUGUAGAACAAGUACAAAAAUGCAGAAUACACACUCUAAGUUUUGCAGAACUCUAGAAAACGUGUUCUAACAAAAUUAGACAAAACUUUAUCUUUAAUUAAAUCAACUUUUUUUAAACCAAAUCUAAAAAAUUUCACUUCAAAUCACAUCUACUCUUGUAUGUCUACAUAUUUUUAUGAUUAUUUUUUUUUUAAAUGUUUAAAAUAGGUUGUAGGGGUAAUUUUGUCCAAACUGACAAUCUCACCAAAAAAGUGUAUAUGGACAAAAAUUUUAGUAGAUAUCCUUUAUUUCCAAUUUUUCCUUUAAAGAAAGUAGGAUACAUAGGAUUUAAGCAAGAUUAUACGAAAAACUUCGUUUUUUAAUAUCUUAAAUUAUUUUUUAAUUUUUUUUUUUGAAUUAAUGUCAGUGGCAUAUCAUUGUAAAUAGUAGUGAACUCCAUGAUUUAUUUACUAAAUGUCUCCAAAAAUGUAUAUAUGUAUAUAUAGAUUAGAUGAUCUAAUCCCAGUCCCAGCCGAGGUGUGAAUUUUUGAAGACCCUUCACUAACAAGUAACAACCAUUAAAAAAUUUUAAAGUGAUGACAUUAGCUAGAAAUCACCAAUAAUUCCUAGAAUGGUAUAAAUCCUUCCAACUCUAUAUUCCAGGAAAACAAUUAGAAUGUUUAUUUCUAAUCUACUUCCCUUGCUAUCUUUACGCGGAAGGACGUCGGUAUUUAAUAUUCUUUUUUUUUUUUAUAACUCAGGGGAAUCUCAGACCUAUGUAGGGGCCCAGACUAAUCCCUUGGGGGAGGUGCAGCCCACAAAUAGACUCUCACUCCGGGUAUGCAAAUAGGCCGAAAGCAAGGGCCCAUAUCCAUGUGGCCAAGUGGAGAUCUAACAAUUGCGCGCUUGCGGGGAAUCGAUCCCUGGCCUAGACCAACAGGGCAACUCCUCCACAAGUGGCAACCACUAGACCAAGAACACUUGGUUAAUCGGUAUUUAAUAUUCAACAAGAAUCUAAGCUAAAUAUCCAUUUCGUUAUCAACUCAGUGUGAGGUCUCGAAUCCUAUUGUGAUAGAUCUUAUACUUGUUCAUUUUACUCCAAAAUAAAGUUUUUUUUUUUCGUUUUUCUAAUUUACAGCAGAUUCUGAGGAAGAAGAAGAAGAAGAAGAAGAUGAAGCCAAAAUCUGAUUUAUUGUCCCACGGAGGAGCCAAGUUGUUAGAGAUCUGAUCGAAUGUUGCGAUGGAAAAUCCAAUCCCAUCAGAUUCUCUCUGCUGACGUCUGAUGAGAUCCGCAAAGACACCAACAAUUACAGCAGAUUCUGGAUUAGAUUUUCGCUUCAAAUGGUAUUCAGGCAAGAACGAGAACCAUCCCAUGAUACUCAUCAGGAAAGAUGUUUGCUAGUGGACUGGCUUGAGAGAAUAUCUUUUGUGCCACGACAUAGCACUGAUAGCAGUUUCAUCAAUGGUGAGUGGUCACAAAAACUUCAUGAAAUUGGUUGGAUGUUGUCUUGAACAUCCAGUCAUGGUUUAUCAUCGUGUACAAAAACUAGAUAUACGUGACGAGACGUGGAAGAGGAGACCGAAGAUAGCACAAGAUAUCGCUACUGCUUAAGCUUACCUUCCCUAGCCCCUUUGUAUAUAGGGUUGGGUGAAUUAAAUAUAAAUACCCGGUUGACCAAAAAAAUUAGAUUUAUAGACAUGAUAAUUUUAAAAUUAAGUAAAUAUGAAAGAUAAAGAAACCAAAAAUCAAAAAUAUCCUUUUUCUUUUGAUUUAUUAUAAAAAUACCAUUGAAUUAAAAAUUGUUUACGAUUACAGUAUCUCGAAGAUACUGUUCACUCCGACGCGGAUGACACUGUUCAUUCCGAG